rnacentral:rRNA from 1 species
GACGAACGCUGGCGGCAUGCCUAAUACAUGCAAGUCGUGCGAACAAUCAUGGUGCUUGCACCAUUGAGCGUUAGCGGCGAACGGGUGAGUAAUACAUCGGAACGUGCCUAGUAGUGGGGGGAUAACUACUCGAAAGAGUGGCUAAUACCGCAUGAGAUCUACGGAUGAAAGCAGGGGAUCGCAAGACCUUGUGCUACUAGAGCGGCCGAUGGCAGAUUAGGUAGUUGGUGGGAUAAAAGCUUACCAAGCCAACGAUCUGUAGCUGGUCUGAGAGGACGAUCAGCCACACUGGGACUGAGACACGGCCCAG